rnacentral:rRNA from 1 species
UCUAAUACCGGAUANNANNNNNNNAGGCAUCUUGGRGGUUGGAAAGCUCCGGCGGUGAAGGAUGAGCCCGCGGCCUAUCAGCUUGUUGGUGAGGUAAUGGCUCACCAAGGCGACGACGGGUAGCCGGCCUGAGAGGGCGACCGGCCACACUGGGACUGAGACACGGCCCAGACUCCUACGGGAGGCAGCAGUGGGGAAUAUUGCACAAUGGGCGAAAGCCUGAUGCAGCGACGCCGCGUGAGGGAUGACGGCCUUCGGGUUGUAAACCUCUUUCAGCAGGGA